UACGUAGGUGGCAAGCGUUGUCCGGAAUUAUUGGGCGUAAAGCGCGCGCAGGCGGUUUCGUCAGUCCGAUGUGACAGGCCACGGCUCAACCGUGGAAGGCCAUUGGAAACUGCGAAACUUGAGGACAGAAGAGGAGAGUGGAAUUCCACGUGUAGCGGUGAAAUGCGUAGAUAUGUGGAGGAACACCAGUGGCGAAGGCGACUCUCUGGUCUGUACCUGACGCUGAGGCGCGAGAGCGUGGGGAGCGAACCGG
rnacentral:misc_RNA from 1 species